rnacentral:other from 1 species
AAAUUCCUGGGGUGCCCGCCAACCUAUUAUUUUGAACCUACAUUUCUUUUAAGGGAACCUAAUUACAGGCAAACAUGCCAAGCCUCUUUUAAGUGGAAGGCAGACGUGCCGGUUGCGGUGCCCACCUAGCUUUUGCUAGGUGUCAAAAUAUAGGAACGGCAUGCUGGGGUAAAA